rnacentral:misc_RNA from 1 species
AACGCACAUUGCGCCCCUUGGUAUUCCGAGGGGCAUGCCUGUUCGAGCGUCAUAACACCCCCUCCAGCUGCCUUUGUGUGGCUGCGGUGUUGGGGCACGUCGCGAUGCGGCGGCCCUUAAAGACAGUGGCGGUCCCGGCGUGGGCUCUACGCGUAGUAACUUGCUUCUCGCGACAGAGUGACGACGGUGGCUUGCCAGAACACCCCUCUUUUGCUCCAGUCACAUGGAUCACAGGUUGACCUCGAAUCAGGUAGGAAUACCCGCUGAACUUAA